CGCGGGAUUAGAGUUUGAUCAUGGCUCAGAUUGAACGCUGGCGGCAGGCUUAACACAUGCAAGUCGAGCGGAAACGAUGGUAGCUUGCUACCAGGCGUCGAGCGGCGGACGGGUGAGUAAUGCUUGGGAAUCUGCCUUGAGGUGGGGGAUAACAGUUGGAAACGACUGCUAAUACCGCAUGAUGUCUUCGGACCAAAGUAGGGGAUCUUCGGACCUUACGCCUUUAGAGGAGCCCAAGUGAGAUUAGCUAGUUGGUUAGGUAAUGGCUCACCAAGGCGACGAUCUCUAGCUGGUUUGAGAGGAUGAUCAGGCACACUGGGACUGAGACACGGCCCAGACUCCUACGGGAGGCAGCAGUGGGGAAUAUUGGACAAUGGGCGCAAGCCUGAUCCAGCCAUGCCGCGUGUGUGAAGAAGGCCUUCGGGUUGUAAAGCACUUUCAGACGUGAGGAAAGGGUGUAGGUUAAUAACUUGCAUCUGUGACGUUAGCGUCAGAAGAAGCACCGGCUAACUCCGUGCCAGCAGCCGCGGUAAUACGGAGGGUGCGAGCGUUAAUCGGAAUUACUGGGCGUAAAGGGCACGCAGGCGGUUGACUAAGUCAGAUGUGAAAGCCCAGGGCUCAACCCUGGAACUGCAUUUGAAACUGGUCGACUAGAGUCCUGUAGAGGGGGGUAGAAUUUCA
rnacentral:rRNA from 1 species